GGAGGAGCCUAGCAGAGUUUCUUACACAGUAACACGCACUUAAUAAAUGUUCGUUGGAUGGGAAUGGCCCAGACACUCAGGAUCACACAUCAAGGCCUCUACAAACAAAACACGCUCAAUAAAUGUCAAUUACUGUGGAACCUUCAGCAAAUUACCUCACAUCUCAACCUGCUUCUUGAAAAUGGGGCAGGAGAAGCUUGGGUUCUGCCCAUAUCCAAACACUCCAAAGGGAAAGGACUGUAAUAGGAUGUCUAUAUUUAUUGACAGUGCUACCCAUCACCCAAUUGGAAAUCUAAGUAACUGAAGCCCCACUUGGUUAUCUGACCUGGAGCAGAGACCCUCUCAACUACAUCACAAACGAAUAGUCAUCCAACCUUUAUCUGAACUUCUCGAGUGAUAAUGAAUUCGCUAGGUGGAAAGAGCAAAAGGGCUUGGAUCAGAAGGGAUUGAGUUCAAAUCCAGCCUCAAACACUUAUUAGCAGUGUGACCCUAGGCACUUCACCUGUGUCUGCCUCAGUUUCCUCUACUGUAAAAUAAAGAUUAUGAUAGUACCUACUCUCCA
rnacentral:lncRNA from 1 species